GCGAGGAUGGCGGAAUUGGUAGACGCGCUAGCUUGAGGUGCUAGUGGACGUUGUCUGUAGGGGUUCGAGUCCCCUUCCUCGCA
rnacentral:tRNA from 1 species